GAAGUGGCUCGGAUGGUCGCGCUAUGCGCUUGUGAAAACAAGUAAGUAGGGAGGAAAGUCCGGGCUGCAUAGAGUAGGAUGCUGGAUAACAUCCAGUGGGGGUAACCCUAGGAAAGUGCCACAGAGACUAGACCGCCAUGUGUUCGCACAAGGUAAGGGUGAAAGGGUGCGGUAAGAGCGCACCGCUUGGUUUGGUGACAAAACAAGGCUUAGGUAAACCCCAUCCGCAGCAAGACCAAAUAGGAAGUCAGAUGGUGCGGCUCGCACUUGGCUUCGGGUAGGUUGCUUGAGGCUGCUGGCAACAGUAGUCCAGAUGAAUGAUCAUCACUUUUGUUUGGCAACAAACAGGAGUACAGAACCCGGCUUAUAGAGCCACUUCGCAA
rnacentral:RNase_P_RNA from 1 species